AUCACUAAUUUCCUUAUUUUAGCUUAUUUUUCCCUCGAGCUCCUUUCACUCUAACUAUCUCUCUUCGAAUCGCAAGCGCAAGCGAGAUGCUUCUAUCAUUAUAAGCUUCUCACAGUUUCUGUUUCUCAUAUUUUCACUGUAACAUUCAUUCUCUUCGAGACAUUAUCUCUUUUCACGACUGAAGUCGUUCUCGGUAGGAAUCAUUUCUUCCUCAUAAAAGUCUUCGUGAUUGGACCUAUUUGUGGACCUGGACCUGUGAAUGUAAACCUAUCCAAGUUAGUUGUGUUAUGUAAUUUCUCCUCCUUCAAUUCUUGAUCUUGAAUUUACCUUCUGCUAUGAUGCAUCUCAACUGUAAGUUAUGCUCUCAGGUUUCUUACUAUUUUAGAAAACCAUGUGCAAGUGACAUAGUAAUAUUCAAAAGCCCUCUGGUGCUUCAAGAAGUUGGAUAUAGUAUGACGAUAUUCUGAGAAGUGCCUCUUGUUCUGUUGGGAUUCUAGUAGAUAGAGGCCUUAGAUCAGUUGAAGGUAUAACAAGAUGUGAAACAACAGUAAAUGUGGCAGGCAGUGAUAUUCAUUGGAGGAAAAGAUGACAGAGAAGCCCUUUUCAUCUUAGUUGUAUGGAGGUAAUGUAAUCAUUACCCUUUUCAUAUUAUUUAGAGGCCAUAGUUUGAAUGAUUUUGAUAGCAAGGAAUGUUGCUAAUGAUUGGUUUCUUUUCCUUAAAAUCUACCGGUUUUGAGUAUCAUAGACAGACGACAGACAACAAAAGUGUACAAAAUCAUGCUUGUUAGUUUGUUAUUAUUUGUUUCCCUGUCCUUUUCACCCGGAUUAAUUAUUGAGAAAUGAUAACCAAUGCUAGCUAGAUAAAAGGGAAUACAAUAUUGAGAAGUGAUAAAUGAUGGAAUCCUUGAUGCAAGCGAAAAUUAGAAUGCUAAAACCAGCAAUGGUGGAGGAACAAAAAAUGUCAGAAUCCGAAACACCCCAAGCCUAUUUUCUAGGACCAACAUUAGUAAACAUAGGACUCCUAUGAUAGGAGGGGAGACAAGGAAGGAAAAGAAAAGCUACAAGAACAAAGCAACAAACUCAGCGGAUACACAGAUGCAGAAAAACAACAGUGCAGCAAAGAUCCAGACAACAAAGAUUGAAAGGCUGAAAAGUAGUUUUCAAAUUUGAAAGCCUCAGGGAACCUUUGUGUGGCCAAAUAUAGGUGUGUCUCCUCAUGUUGCGGCCAACCAUGAUGACCAAACAGUGAGCACAGCCACACUAACCCAUGUUACUGGCCCAUUCUCCCCUCAUCUUUCUCCUCCAUCAGAUUCUUGGGGUGCUGGAUACUGCAGUUAAUGUGGUUGAGAGGAAUGAAGACUAGAUUCUUGAACAACCUGCAUAUGAGAUGAAACCCACGGUAACUUAUAUCUUUUAAUAUUUUGGUUCUGUUGUCUUCCCUUCCUCUAUUGAUAUUGAAGUAUCCUGACUUAUUUUGUAUUCAACUGGGUGAACUAAUCCAAAAUUUAUUAGGAUGGGUCCUGGACUCUUGUUUGAAUUUACAUUAACCUUGAAUUAUUUGAAGCAUUGUGCACUGAUUUUAAUCUAAUAAUUUGUUUGCUUUUGUAGCGUGUACAAGAGAACAAUCGCAAUAACAGCUAUGAUUCCUACGUGUGAUAAUGAUUUCUUUUAAUAUAGUUGAUUAUUUAUGCUAUUCCAUGUUUGAUAAUUAUAUUGUGAAUGGAAUGUGAUUUUUGUUAGGGGUCCCCUGUCAUCGAAGAACAUCAUAGGCAUAUCAAUAUUUCGGUAUUGGCCACCAAAUAUAAUUGCUGGCACUGUUUCUAAGGAUAGUUGCAGUGUUGAAACCAAGCAGGAGAGGGAGAGUUUAGUAGGCUUCAACUUCUAAUGCACCAAAUAUACGAUGCAUUAAUAAUGGUUGGUGAUUCCAUUUCCCAUUCACCGUUUGGUUUAGUGGAAAUAUGUAUCAAAUUAGAAAUAAAAGAUAAUUUUAAAUUAUUAUUUUUUCUGAACUAUGAACUCCUUGUAAAUGAGUUAUUGGAGACUCUAGCGAAUAUAGCUCUAACAAAGGAGGAGGAAAUAAAACUUAAAAAUUACGAUGA